rnacentral:rRNA from 1 species
AACGAACGCUGGCGGCAUGCCUAACACAUGCAAGUCGAACGAGAUCUUCGGGUCUAGUGGCGCACGGGUGCGUAACGCGUGGGAAUCUGCCCUUUGGUUCGGAAUAACAGUUGGAAACGACUGCUAAUACCGGAUGAUGACGAAAGUCCAAAGAUUUAUCGCCAGAGGAUGAGCCCGCGUAGGGUUAGCGAGUUGGUGUGGUAAAGGCGCACCAAGGCGACGAUCCUUAGCUGGUCUGAGAGGAUGAUCAGCCACACUGGGACUGAGACACGGCCCAGACUCCUACGGGAGGCAGCAGUGGGGAAUAUUGGACAAUGGGCGAAAGCCUGAUCCAGCAAUGCCGCGUGAGUGAUGAAGGCCUUAGGGUUGUAAAGCUCUUUUACCCGGGAUGAUAAUGACAGUACCGGGAGAAUAAGCUCCGGCUAACUCCGUGCCAGCCGCCGCAGUAA